GAUGGCGGCCAUAGCGGGGAAGUGUACCUGUUCCCAUUCCGAACACAGAAGUCAAGCUCCCCGGCGGUCUGGGGUGUACUGGGCAUCGCCCGGGAAUCCCAGAUAGCUGCCCUAU
rnacentral:rRNA from 1 species